GACAUGGGGAAACACAAAGAGGAAACUUGUACUUUCUUUGGAGGAAACAGACUUGAUAUGAACAACCAUGGAGUGCUGACCCACAUAUAAGCUGUAGCUAAACUUUGGAGUUAAUCUAAGCUCCUACAGAGCAUAUGGGGGGUAAGGGGAGGUUUCACAAUCAAGAAGUUUGAAAAAUUUCCACCCUUCUUUUCACUCUAGUUUCAUGCUUACAUGAGGUAAACCACAACAAGCUAGGUUUCUUUCCCACGUAUCGCCUUAUCAUAACUUGAGUCUGUGAAGAGAGACCAAUAAUCGGUACGUUCUGAAUGACAUAAGGAAGACUGUUGGAUCAUUUUGAAAGAAUGAAAGUCACUAAAAGGGAAGAUAGACACUGGACAGGAUUCAAGAUUAUGUGAACUCAGCUCUACAUCCUGGGCAUCUGAACUAACAGGCUUUGGUGUAUACAGGAGAAACAAUCUGUGUGGAACGCAAAAAGAAGGUGGAAAGUUAUCCAAGCUAAUGGCAUAGGCGUCCACCUCUCAUCCACGGUAAUCUAAUGAUGAUUUAUUUGUCUAUAGAUAAUUGGACAAAAGAGAGGCUAACAAUCCCUUAUAGCUCAAACAUUUCAACAUAAGCCUCAAAUCUGCUUGAUGCUGUGUGGUUUAAGCCAAUUAGUGUUUAGAUUUCCAAAACACCUGAAACAUAUCAAAGCUCCAUUCAACAAAAACACAUUUUAAAAGUUGCCUUCGUCUCCUCUUGAAGACAAAACUGACACAGCUUGCUAUUUAUGAUCUGAAGUGGUCUGAAAAAAAACAACAACUGUGGUCUUGAUCACCCUGUUUGGGUUCCUCUACUAUAUAAAAACCUGCUCCCUGUACAUUAUCCCAUACAGAACACUGGAUAUCACUUGAUGCUUAAUAAUCUUGCACAUUCUAACAUGUGUUUUAUCAGUCUAUGUAAAGGAACCACAGGACACAAACUGACGCAGAAUCUGAAACUAUUUCUGUUUUCUCAAUUAUCUGUUGGGGUCAUCCCCUUUUUCUUUUCUUUUUUGCUUGUGUAUAAGAAUUAAGUAGCAGACGGUAUCUUUCAUCUUCACAGAAUGAGGAGAAGAUGGAAGCAGUCAGUUUGAACCUGAACGAAGACCUAUUCACCAACACCUAUCACAUCCUGAGUAAUCAAGCUUUGGAAACCAUUAAAGAGAAGAUUGACGAUUAGCUAAAUGGAGAGAAAGAAGGACGCCACUCUGUUUUUUCUUCUUCUUGCCUUGCUUCAUGUCUGCGCCAUCAAAAAAGGGCAGGAUUGUUCCAAUCAUAAAAAUCUCUCCUGCUACACUGACUACAAUCGUACCAUCACUUGUGAGUGGAACAGCACACUUGAGUGGGACACUGUGUGCAAAAUACACGCCAAAAAGACGACUGGGUAUGUACUGCAGACAGAAAAAUGAAAUAAACAUACUUGGAGUAAA